UCGAGCGGACAGAAGGGAGCUUGCUCCCGGAUGUUAGCGGCGGACGGGUGAGUAACACGUGGGUAACCUGCCUGUAAGACUGGGAUAACUCCGGGAAACCGGAGCUAAUACCGGAUAGUUCCUUGAACCGCAUGGUUCAAGGAUGAAAGACGGUUUCGGCUGUCACUUACAGAUGGACCCGCGGCGCAUUAGCUAGUUGGUGGGGUAAUGGCUCACCAAGGCGACGAUGCGUAGCCGACCUGAGAGGGUGAUCGGCCACACUGGGACUGAGACACGGCCCAGACUCCUACGGGAGGCAGCAGUAGGGAAUCUUCCGCAAUGGACGAAAGUCUGACGGAGCAACGCCGCGUGAGUGAUGAAGGUUUUCGGAUCGUAAAGCUCUGUUGUUAGGGAAGAACAAGUGCAAGAGUAACUGCUCGCACCUUGACGGUACCUAACCAGAAAGCCACGGCUAACUACGUGCCAGCAUCCGCGGUAAUACGUGUGUGGCAAGCUGUUUCCGAAUAUAAGGG
rnacentral:rRNA from 1 species